rnacentral:misc_RNA from 1 species
UACGAAGGGGGCUAGCGUUAUUCGGAAUCACUGGGCGUAAAGCGCACGUAGGCGGACUGUUAAGUCAGGGGUGAAAUCCCGGGGCUCAACCUCGGAACUGCCUUCGAUACUGGGAGUCUUGAGGCUGAUAGAGGUGAGUGGAAUUCCGAGUGGAGAGGUGAAAUUCGUAGAUAUUCGGAAGAACACCAGUGGCGAAGGCGGCUCACUGGCUCAGUACUGACGCUGAGGUGCGAAAGUGUGGGGAGCAAACAGG